GACGAACGCUGGCGGCAUGCCUAACACAUGCAAGUCGAACGGAGAUUAUUUCGGUAAUCUUAGUGGCGAACGGGUGAGUAACGCGUGGGCAACCUGCCCUCUAGAUGGGGACAACAUCCCGAAAGGGGUGCUAAUACCGAAUGUGACAGCAAUCUCGCAUGAGGAUGCUGUGAAAGAUGGCCUCUACUUAUAAGCUAUCGCUAGAGGAUGGGCCUGCGUCUAAUUAGCUAGUUGGUGGGGUAACGGCCUACCAAGGCGAUGAUCAGUAGCCGGUCUGAGAGGAUGACCGGCCACAUUGGGACUGAGACACGGCCCAGACUCCUACGGGAGGCAGCAGUGGGGAAUCUUCCGCAAUGGGCGAAAGCCUGACGGAGCAAUGCCGCGUGAGUGAUGAAGGAAUUCGUUCCGUAAAGCUCUUUUGUUUAUGACGAAUGUGCAGGUUGUGAAUAAUGACUUGUAAUGACGGUAGUAAACGAAUAAGCCACGGCUAACUACAUGCCAGCCGCCGCCGUAA
rnacentral:rRNA from 1 species